GGCUCAGGAUGAACGCUAGCGGCAGGCUUAACACAUGCAAGUCGAGGGGUAUAGUCCUUCGGAGCUAGAGACCGGCGCACGGGUGCGUAACGCGUAUGCAAUCUACCUUUUACAGAGGGAUAGCCCAGAGAAAUUUGGAUUAAUACCUCAUAGUAUGUGAGAAUCGCAUGGUUUUCACAUUAAAGUUCCACGGUAAAAGAUGAGCAUGCGUCCCAUUAGCUAGAUGGUAAGGUAACGGCUUACCAUGGCGACGAUGGUAGGGGUCCUGAGAGGGAGAUCCCCCACACUGGUACUGAGACACGGACCAGACUCCUACGGGAGGCAGCAGUGGGGAAUUUUGGACAAUGGACGCAAGUCUGAUCCAGCCAUUCCGCGUGCAGGAUGAAGGCCCUCGGGUUGUAAACUGCUUUUGUACGGAACGAAAAGGUUUCUAUUAAUACUAGGAGCUCAUGACGGUACCGUAAGAAUAAGCACCGGCUAACUACGUG
rnacentral:rRNA from 1 species